rnacentral:rRNA from 1 species
GACGAACGCUGGCGGCGUGCCUAACACAUGCAAGUCGAGCGAAUGAAGUUCCUUCGGGAAUGGAUUUAGCGGCGGACGGGUGAGUAACACGUGGGCAACCUGCCUCAUAGAGGGGAAUAGCCUUCCGAAAGGGAGAUUAAUACCGCAUAAGAUUGUAGUAUCGCAUGAUACAGCAAUUAAAGGAGCAAUCCGCUAUGAGAUGGGCCCGCGGCGCAUUAGCUAGUUGGUGAGGUAACGGCUCACCAAGGCGACGAUGCGUAGCCGACCUGAGAGGGUGAUCGGCCACAUUGGGACUGAGACACGGCCCAGACUCCUACGGGAGGCAGCAGUGGGGAAUAUUGCACAAUGGGGGAAACCCUGAUGCAGCAACGCCGCGUGAGUGAUGACGGCCUUCGGGUUGUAAAGCCCUGUCUUCAGGGACGAUAAUGACGGUACCUGAGGAGGAAGCCACGGCUAACUACGUG